rnacentral:rRNA from 1 species
CAGUCGCCGCGGGAAUACGUAGGUGGCAAACGUUGUCCGGAAUUAUUGGGCGUAAAGGGAGCGCAGGCGGACAUAUAAGUCCAUCUUAAAAGUGCGGGGCUCAACCCCGUGAGGGGAUGGAAACUGUAUGCCUUGAGUGCAGGAGAGGAAAGCGGAAUUCCCAGUGCAGCGGUGAAAUGCGUAGAUAUUAGGAAGAACACCAGUGGCGAAGGCGACUUUCUGGACGAAAACUGACGCUGAGGCGCGAAAGCCAGGGGAGCGAACGGGAUUAGAUACCCCAGUAGUCCCUGUCUCUUAUACA